rnacentral:lncRNA from 1 species
UUUGAUUUAGGAUUUGAUUAGGGUUUGGUUUAGGAUUUGGAUUAGGGUUUGAUUGAAGGUUUAGGAUUUGGUUUAGGAUUUGGUUGGGAUUUAUUUAGGGUUUGGUUUAGGGUUUAGGAUUUGGAUAUGAGUUUGGUUAGGGUUUGAUUUAGGGUUUAAGGUUUAAUUAGGAUUUGAUUAGGGUUUGAUUUCGGAUUUAGGAUUUGGAUUAGGAUUUGGUUAGGAUUUGAUUUAGGAUUUAGGAUUUGAAUUAGGGUUUGAUUUAGAGUUUAGGAUUUAGAUCAGGAUUUGGUUAGGAUUUGAUUUAGGAUUUAGAGUUUGGUUUAGAGUUCGGUUAGGAUUUGGUUUAGGAUUUGAUUGGGAUUUGGUUUAAGGUUUGUUUAGGAUUUGAUUCAGGGUUUAGGAUUUUAUUAGGAUUUAAGAUUCAAUUAGUUUUGGCCUAAAGUUUGAAUGAAGUUCAAUAGGAUUUUAACUAGAAUUAAAUUAAGAUUGAAUUGAGAUGUAUUUGAGUGAUAUUUGUCAUUCUUGUAAUAUUUCUUUAAGAAUUCUUAUUGUUUGUUUGAAAUUUCUUUGAGGUUUUUUUUGAAUUUGAUUAAGCUUGCUUAGCAUUAUUAUGGUUUAAUUAGAGCAUUAUUAGUAUUCUAUUAGAAUUAAGAUUUUGUUAUUACAAUUUCUAUUCUUUCUUCUACAGCCAGGUGCUUGGAGCAUUCUCAAGUAAGACUUCACGUAUUACGACAACGCGUAUUAAAAGUCCUAUAGCAUGUUGACACAUAGUUCUUAGUUAAGUAGUAUAUAUAAAGGGAAGAGUGAGGCCUU